UAUCAAUAUCACUAAUCAUAAUCAUUUCGUUCAUGAUUUUUUCAUUUUUCAUAUUUAUGUUUUUAAGUAUUAUUCAUAGUAAAAUGAAUAAGAGGUAUGCUCGAUCAUAGUUCGCGUUUUCGUAAUGGUACACUCACGUGCAUCGCUUUUUGUUUUUGUGCUUUCGUAUACGAUCGGCAAAAUACGAUCACUACCUAAUGCACUUUAUAAUCGCGCGAUUUUUUAAUUGAUUAUUCUGAUACGAUAUCAAUGACGAAUUUUUAAGUAAUAAUUAUAUCAAUUACUUUAAGACAAUCAUAGAUCUUAUAAACAUGGAUAAGACAUUGAUACUUUAUCGGUGAAGACUGUGAAGUAAAUUGAGGCUAUUUGUUUCCAUUAUUACAUUAUCAGAUUUUACUUUUUAUUAUUUAAUGGUUGAGUUGGCUUAUAACAAUUAUAAUGUAAACAGACGGCCUCAUAUUCAUUAUUGUAAUAUUAUUAUAAUAUGAACAUUUAUUUAUAACUGUAUUCGUAACUUUUUCAACGUCCUAGUAGUUUUAUGCUUGAGUACUCAACGUAUCUACAGUUGCGGUUAUAGACCACCAUUGUUAUCUUUUUACUAUAUCUACGAUUUUAAUCCAUGAUACAUAAUCAAUAAAUUGGCUGCUGCCUCUUAGACAGUUAUAUUAACCAUGUCGGCUACAGUCAAAAAUAAUUAAUAGUAUUAGAACCAGAUAAUCCUAUGAUGAUGAGAUUUUUUAAAAGGCUCUCGAACAUCAUUCAAUGAAACAAAAAUUAAAUUUACAACAAGAAGUACUGUCUCUGAUAGAAAAUGUUAAAACUAAACAAAAUAAUGAACUAUUAUUUAAAAACAAAAUAAAUAUUUUAUUUCAUCAAAAUGAGGCACAAAUAGUUUCAUUAGAUAAACUUAAAAUAGAAUUAAAAAUGGCAAAGAACAAGGCAAUAAUCAUGUAGAUAAACGGAAAUUGCGAUUUUUAGUUGUUGAUAGAAAAAUUACAGAGCAAAAUAAAAACAUUUUAGAUUUAAAAAGACAGUAACACUGUAGUAGGACACUUUUAAAUGAAUUAUUAAAAUACGAAAAAGAUCAAGAAAUUGUGAUGGUGUCACGUUUUC